CGGACGGGUGAGUAACGCGUGAAGGAUGACGGCCUAUGGGUUGUAAACUUCUUUUUUCAGGGAGGAAUCAAUGACGUGUACCUGAAGAAUAAGCAUCGGCUAACUCCGUGCCAGCAGCCGCGGUAAGACGGAGGAUGCAAGUGUUAUCCGGAAUCACUGGGCGUAAAGCGUCUGUAGGUGGUUUAAUAAGUCAACUGUUAAAUCUUGAAGCUCAACUUCAAAAUCGCAGUCGAAACUAUUAGACUUGAGUAUAGUAGGGGUAAAGGGAAUUUCCAGUGGAGCGGUGAAAUGCGUAGAGAUUGGAAAGAACACCGAUGGCGAAGGCACUUUACUGGGCUAUUACUGACACUCAGAGACGAAAGCUAGGGUAGCAAAUGGGAUUAGAUACCCCAGUAGUC
rnacentral:rRNA from 1 species